AACGAACGCUGGCGGCAGGCUUAACACAUGCAAGUCGAGCGCCCCGCAAGGGGAGCGGCAGACGGGUGAGUAACGCGUGGGAAUCUACCGUGCCCUACGGAAUAGCUCCGGGAAACUGGAAUUAAUACCGUAUACGCCCUUUGGGGGAAAGAUUUAUCGGGGUAUGAUGAGCCCGCGUUGGAUUAGCUAGUUGGUGGGGUAAAGGCCUACCAAGGCGACGAUCCAUAGCUGGUCUGAGAGGAUGAUCAGCCACAUUGGGACUGAAACACGGCCCAAACUCCUACGGGAGGCAGCAGUGGGGAAUAUUGGACAAUGGGCGCAAGCCUGAUCCAGCCAUGCCGCGUGAGUGAUGAAGGCCCUAGGGUUGUAAAGCCCUUUCGGCAGGGAAGAUGAUGACGGUACCUGCAGAAGAAGCCCCGGCUAACUUCGUGCCAGCAGCCGCGGUAAUAC
rnacentral:rRNA from 1 species